rnacentral:lncRNA from 1 species
UGAACACCAAAUCCCUAAAAUUACAGAUAAUUUGUAAACAUUAAAAGCAAUUGCGCACGCACGCAGCCCCUUUCUCUCAACAGCACGCACGCCGCCAGCACACUUAGCCCAUGCAGCAGCAACCGAGCACGGUAGCAACAGGCCACCAGCAGUCGCUCUCUCUCUCACGCACACGCAGCAGCAAGCCAACACCAAUAGCCCCUCUUUCUCAUGCUCACUCUCUACUAUGACGAAGUCAACACUAUAGCCCUCUUACGUACUCAAGAAAACUCUAACCCAUAUCCAAACCCUCGCCGUCGAAGAAAACCCAAUCCUUAAUGGCUUGAAAUUAAAGCCUCCGCCGUCAAUCACCAUCGAACCAAAUAAACCCUAGCCUUACCAUCACUCUUCAUUUGACUCGCUGAAGAAAGCACUCUAUUAGGUAAGUCUCUGUUGUUUGAUAAUAUAUCUGCACUCUUUGUUGGCCGAAGCUUUUAGACAAUUGCUUUGAUUCAAUUGCUUCGAUUGGUUAGUUCUCUGUGAUUAAUUAGUUAGUUACUUUUAAUUUCAUAUUUUCAUCUCUAACAGUGAAUUUGGGAGUCGUUUUCUCUAUCGGAUUUGUAAUUUUUGCUACGGAUCAAAAACAUCUUGAAGGUGUUUUCAUAUCUAACAACUUGAACUAUCAUUUAUUUUGUCCUAUUAAUGUUCAAUUUUUUUUUUCUUUUUUAUUAGUAUGACAAUUAGUCGAAUGUCCUUGCACAUAAAACAAUCUUUUAACUUGGCGUUGGAAUAUUUGUUUUGAGUUGUGUCCCCUUAAUCAGUGACCAUACAAAAGUUCCCCAUGAUAAAGUGUUUAGCCCUAUUAAUGCCAUAAAGUCUUGCUCUCAAUUUUUCUGAUUAUGCCUAUGGAUUGAUUACCUAUUUCAUUUACAAAUUCAAUUGGCAAAUGUACAAUGCCUGCAUGACACUCACAUUUGGGUUAUAAUGGUAGUCAUUAUGAGGAAGAAGGUUAGAAUAACAUCAGGGGAAACAUCUGGGAGAAGGUAUGUACUGUCAAGCUCUUUGUUAGAAUCAUCACGAAAUUUAUAUUGGAUCGUGGCUGUUCUAUGUGAUGCAUUUUGGAUUUGCUCUUGCUAGACAUGCAAAAACUUGUAAAAUGUAUUUUUUUUUUCCCAUUUUAGAUUUACUAUCUAGUAUCUUGUAGGUUUAAUCUAAAAUAGAAACCAUUCAGGAUACUGGACACAAUUCUAAUGAAGAGAAAAGAUGUUAGACUUUAGUAUUCAACCUUUUUUUUUUAGCCAUAUUUCUAGACCCCAAGUUUAUGUCAUGAUAAUUGUGUGAUUGAUAAGAUAUUUUGGUUUUAGACUGUAUCUCAUGGAUUUAGAGUUCGAUUAUAUUUGGAAGUGGAAUAAUGCAUUCAUUUACAUAUGAUGUUUGAUGAAGUUCCCAUAAAAUUAAUUCAAUUAUAUAUGCUUAUGGUUCUAAGGAAGCGGGGCAAAAAUUUUAUCAGUGGGUUGAUUUCACUAGUUCAAGUUAGUAAAGCAAAGAAAUUGUCUUUAUGCACUUUAACUUUCCUCCAUUUAAGUUAAAAAAAUUAUUGAAGCUUUUGGAAGUGAAUUGUUCAUUUUGUUUGUGCACUUAUGCAGAUGGAUUUACUUUUGGCUGCUUAACCCUUCCUCACUUAUAUUUUUUCAGUUUAAAUUGCAGUGUUUUACUGCUGUGCAACAGCACAAGAGGUUGUUUUAUUGUUGUUUCUAUAAAAACACAGCACCAGGAAGCGUCCAG